GACGAACGCUGGCGGCGUGCUUAACACAUGCAAGUCGAACGGAAAGGCCCUGCUUUUGUGGGGUGCUCGAGUGGCGAACGGGUGAGUAACACGUGAGUAACCUGCCCUUGACUUUGGGAUAACUUCAGGAAACUGGGGCUAAUACCGGAUAGGAGCUCCUGCUGCAUGGUGGGGGUUGGAAAGUUUCGGCGGUUGGGGAUGGACUCGCGGCUUAUCAGCUUGUUGGUGGGGUAGUGGCUUACCAAGGCUUUGAAGGGUAGUCGGCCUGAGAGGGUGACCGGCCACAUUGGGACUGAGAUACGGCCCAGACUCCUACGGGAGACAGCAGUGGGGAAUAUUGCACAAUGGGCGGAAGCCUGAUGCAGCAGCGCCGCGUGCGGGAUGACGGCCUUCGGGUUGUAAACCGCUUUCGCCUGUGACGAAGCGUGAGUGACGGUAAUGGGUAAAGAAGCACCGGCUAACUACGUG
rnacentral:rRNA from 1 species